CCCCAGGGGGUGCGCGACGCGCAGCUGCAGGACGGCGCCGUGCUGCUGCUCGUCAGCGACCCCAGGUAGUCUGUGCCGGAGGAGGCGGAGCCAUGGCCACAGGGAUCCAAGGUGCUGGCUGAAGAGGCAGGUAGGGGGGGGGGCACUUUCAGGAGGUGCCUCCCCUGCCGGUCAGGAGCCCAGACUGCAAUACAGGUUCUGGGCUCCUUGGUGGAGGGAGACACACCGACUUGUCCCAUGGCCUCGAUGUUCCUGAUGGAGCCCUAGCCGCUGACUGACCCAGGACUGUGCCACACCUUUGCUCAAGCCAUGGCCCUGCCUGGAAUACCUCCCACACUCAUCUCUGCCCGUCCAAUCCACUGAGGCUUGGCACCUCCUCCAGGAAGUUCUCUAGGAUUCCGUCCUUUCCAGCCAGUGGGCCCCUACAAACUCCCUGUGCUGUGACCAGCCCCAGCUGGGGGUGCAGUCAGUCACUAACAGUCUCAGCUGACCAAAGUCCUAGAGAGGACGUCCUCCUUGCUCUCCGUGGAGUGUAAACUGAGGCCUGUGGUGGUCUCUGGGGUGUAGAGCAGGGGGUCAGCACACACCCCUGCUCCUGCGUCCUGGGCCUCUGUAGCUGGGCCGCCCGCGCAUGCGUGGAGCCCUGGGACUCCCGGCUGGCUUGCGCGGUCCCUCCCACGUCCAGCUUUCUCCAGCCCCCCCAAACACCUCCCCACCACGCACCUGUGCCCUUCCCCUGAAAUCCCUACGCUUUACCCUCUCCACAGGGUCUCCUAGGCCGGCCUGCAGGGCUCUGGCCCAGGUCUGGGCAGUGGCUGGGCCUGGGGACACCCCCGCCCUCAGGCACUGGGUGCGAGUUCCAGGGAGAGACCCUCAGCGGAGCGCUAGGCCUGGGCUGGACCUCAGAGCUCCGGC